rnacentral:rRNA from 1 species
AACGAACGCUGGCGGCAUGCCUAACACAUGCAAGUCGAACGAGACCUUCGGGUCUAGUGGCGCACGGGUGCGUAACGCGUGGGAACCUGCCCUUAGGUUCGGAAUACCUCCCCGAAAGGGGUGCUAAUACCGGAUAAUGUCUUCGGACCAAAGAUUUAUCGCCUUUGGAUGGGCCCGCGUUGGAUUAGCUAGUUGGUAGGGUAAAAGCCUACCAAGGCGACGAUCCAUAGCUGGUCUGAGAGGAUGAUCAGCCACACUGGGACUGAGACACGGCCCAGACCCCUACGGGAGGCAGCAGUGGGGAAUAUUGGACAAUGGGCGAAAGCAUGAUCCAGCAAUGCCGCGUGAGUGAUGAAGGCCUUAGGGUUGUAAAGCUCUUUUACCCGGGAUGAUAAUGACAGUACCGGGAGAAUAAGCUCCGGCUAACUCCGUG